AAUAGAUACCCGGGUAGUCCACGCCGUAAACGAUGUCGACUUGGAGGUUGUUCCCUUGAGGAGUGGCUUCCGGAGCUAACGUGUUAAGUCGACCGCCUGGGGGGUACGGCCGCAAGGUUAAAACUCAAAAUGAAUUGACGGGGGCCCGCACAAGCGGUGGAGCAUGUGGUUUAAUUCGAUGCAACGCGAAGAACCUUACCUACUCUUGACAUCCAGAGAACUUAGCAGAGAUGCUUUGGUGCCUUCGGGAACUCUGAGACAGGUGCUGCAUGGCUGUCGUCAGCUCGUGUUGUGAAAUGUUGGGUUAAGUCCCGCAACGAGCGCAACCCUUAUCCUUUGUUGCCAGCGGUUCGGCCGGGAACUCAAAGGAGACUGCCAGUGAUAAACUGGAGGAAGGUGGGGAUGACGUCAAGUCAUCAUGGCCCUUACGAGUAGGGCUACACACGUGCUACAAUGGCGUAUACAAAGAGAAGCGACCUCGCGAGAGCAAGCGGACCUCAUAAAGUACGUCGUAGUCCGGAUUGGAGUCUGCAACUCGACUCC
rnacentral:rRNA from 1 species